rnacentral:rRNA from 1 species
UACGUAGGGUGCAAGCGUUAAUCGGAAUUACUGGGCGUAAAGCGUGCGCAGGCGGUUUUGUAAGUCUGUCGUGAAAUCCCCGGGCUUAACCUGGGAACUGCAUUUGUGACUGGCAGGCUAGAGUAUGGCAGAGGGGGUAGAAUUCCACGUGUAGCAGUGGAAAUGCGUAGAGAUGUGGAGGAAUACCGAUGGCGAAGGCAGCCCCCUGGGCCCAAUACACUGACGCUCAUGCACGAAAGCGUGGGGAGCAAACGAGGAUUAGAACGUACCGUAUCA